AUGGAUCCUGGUCAGGUUCGUUACCACGGAGCCACGACGGGGAGUCCCCUGACCCAUUCUUUACCAGGCAGAGCGGACGCUAAAACAACCUGUAAGAAUGUGAAAAGGUUGUGUGACUGGACGUCCCUCUUGCUUGCUUUAUUUGGAAGCAUAAGCAGAGUGGCAUCCCGUCGUGCCCCAGCCUGGGCUGUGCCCGCAGCGCCCGGAAGCUCAAAAUGGAGGCCAGAAGCCAAGUCCACCAGUCACCCCGACUGCAAAUGGGCUGGGGCGCCAUCCCUGGCAUCCUGGGGUCCUUCCGCUGCAGCUCAGCCUUCACGUUCACAGCCAGGACCUCCGGGCAAGGGCUGGAGGUGGAGACAGGGCGGCGCCUGGGCUCGCUUUUCACACCAGAAGUUACAUAACAGAGCAAAACUUGGACUGGCCCGUGUCCCGGGAGACCUCCAGCUUGUUUCUGUCCCGGACAAGGAUGGCCUCGUUCCCGUACUGAGAGUACCACAUGCUUCGGCUCCGGCUCAGGGAAACGUAAGAGGAGCCUCGGAGCAUGUUCUGAAGAGACACCCAAGAACCACACGAGAGAUGACAGCAAGCAGAUCAGCAGUGUCCUGGCCACAGUUUCCUGGGGACAGUCAGGUAUGCCCUUUAUUAGGACAAUGCACCCUCCUGGGGGGGGGGGGGUUUUGCAGGGGCCGGUGGGGGAGGGAGACCAGGAAGAUGCCACCAAGCCCUGGGGGACUGUGAUGCAUAGCUGCUCCCCUUGGCUCCCAGCACACUCCGGGGGAGACUGCUUUUGUCACAAGUCCCCUGGGACAGGAAAAGCUUGCUGAUUUUGAGGUGAUGGAGGAAAACCCUUCACGGCACCUAUCUUUUAUUUCAUUGAUGCAAUGGCAGCAGUCCCGGUUCCUAAUCAGGGGAGCAGAGCCAGGCUUCAGGCAGAUCCCAUGCUGCCCAGUAUGACAGCAGCCAGGAGCCACAGCGUGUGGCUGCUGGACUCUUGAAUGUGGUUUGUUUGAUGGAGGAGCUGAAUUUUUAAUUGUAUUUAAUUUCAGUUAACGUCACACCGGAUAUUCAGUUCAGUUUUGGGCAAACUUGUAAGUGUAUUUAAAUUACCCUAGGCACACGCGUCUAUUUUUCAAAUGAUACGUCUUCUGAACUUUAGCUACGGAUCAAACGCGUCCUUAACGGUGAUCAGCGUUUCCGAUGACAGUUUAGCGGUCACGCUGAAAUGUGCUGAGUGUAAAAAUGCCCUGGUUUCGAAGACUUCACAACAUGCAAAGAGAAACGGAAAGGAGCUGGCGAAUACGUUUUUGGGUUGAUUCCAUGUUGAAGUGAUACUAUUUCAGAUAAGAUGGAUUAAAUAAAACGAAUUAUUCAAACGGAAUCCACCUACAAGGGGUUAUUCUCCAGCCGUAAAAAGGAACGGAGGACGUGUUCCCAGGCGACCACGUGCACGAACCUGGCACCAGGCUGUGCGCAGGGAGCACACGUGUUCUGCGAUUCCACGGACGCGACGCGACCGGAGGAGGCGGGGCCGUGGAGACAGGAAGUAGGUGGGCGUGGCGUGGGCGGCGUGGUGGGGGCGGCCGCUUGGGGUGGCUUUUGGGGGGUGAACGCGUCCCGGGGUCCAGCAGGCA
rnacentral:lncRNA from 1 species